GGAAUAUUGGACAAUGGGCGCAAGCCUGAUCCAGCCAUGCCGCGUGAGUGAUGAAGGCCCUAGGGUUGUAAAGCUCUUUCACCGGUGAAGAUAAUGACGGGAACCGGAGAAGAAGCCCCGGCUAACUUCGUUCCAGCAGCCGCGGUAAUACGAAGGGGGCUAGCGUUGUUCGGAAUUACUGGGCGUAAAGCGCACGUAGGCGGAUUGUUAAGUGAGGGGUGAAAUCCCAGGGCUCAACCCUGGAACUGCCUCCAAAACUCCUGGUCUUGAGUUCGAGAGAGGUGAGUGGAAUUCCGAGUGUAGAGGUGAAAUUCGUAGAUAUUCGGAGGAACACCAGUGGCGAAGGCGGCUCACUGGCUCGAUACUGACGCUGAGGUGCGAAAGUGUGGGGAGCAAA
rnacentral:rRNA from 1 species